rnacentral:rRNA from 1 species
CCUACGGGUGGCAGCAGUGGGGAAUAUUGCGCAAUGGGCGAAAGCCUGACGCAGCGACGCCGCGUGAGGGAUGAAGGUCUUCGGAACGUAAACCUCUGUCAGCAGGGAAGAACGGGCAGUGUGCUAAUUAGCAGUGACUUGACGGUACCUGCAAAGGAAGCACCGGCUAACUCCGUGCCAGCAGCCGCGGUAAUACGGAGGGUGCGAGAGUUAAUGGGGAUUACUGGGCGUAAAGCGCUCGUAGGCGGUAUGUCAAGUCAAGGGUGAAAUCCCCGCGCUCAACGUGGGAACUGCCUUUGAAACUGGCAAACUGGAGUGUGUGAGAGGAUAGUUGAAUUCCAGGUGUAGGAGUGAAAUCCGUAGAUAUCUGGAGGAACAUCAGUGGCGAAGGCGACUAUCUGGCACAUAACUGACGCUGAGGAGCGAAAGCGUGGGUAGCAAACAGGAUUAGAUACCCGAGUAGUC